rnacentral:misc_RNA from 1 species
UACUCUCACCUUCUCUAAUGUUGCAUUGGAGAAAGUGGAUUUGGAUGCUGCCGCUUCGCUGUCAGGCUCAUCUCAAAUGGGUUAGCACAUCUCGCAGUUGGGCUUAGUACAGCGUGAUAAGUGUCUUCGCUGGCAUCUCUUUCGAGAUGGGUCCAAUUUGGAGCUCUGUGCUUCAAACCGUCUUAUAGACAAACUCUGACAAC